CGUGAACAUAAUUUAAAUAAGAGGCCUCCACGACGCAGUAGUCCAAAAUUAUAAUAUAGAUUAAGUUUUUUAUGAGCUACAAUGUUUGUAUAGGCCACUGCGUUACGGACGUUCCAUACAAAAUAAGAGGUCAAAUGACCGUUAAAAAAACUUUUUUCUUGUGCCUGUUAUUGGAGUGCGUUGGGCCUACACAUUCUAAAAAUAGAUUUUUAACCGUAAAGCCAUGAUGACACAAUAUUUGCCAUUUUCCCCGGUUAAAAAUCGAUUUUUGGAAUGUGUAGGCCAAAAACUGACAUUUAAGUGGUAUCGUUCAGAGUAGAUGCGAAGAAAGAGCACUAUUUGACGCUUACAAAA